rnacentral:rRNA from 1 species
UGCAAGUCGAACGCGCAGCAAUCUGUAGCAAUACAGGUUGUGGGCGCGUGGCGAACGGGUGCGUAACACGUGGAUAACCUUCCUUCAGGUGGGGAAUAACCCAGUGAAAAUUGGGCUAAUACCGCAUAACAAAACGAUGGGACAUCUCGUUGUUUUCAAAGGCGCAAGUCGCCAGAAGAGGGAUCCGCGGCCGAUUAGCUUGUUGGCGGGGUAAUGGCCCACCAAGGCAAUGAUCGGUAGCCGGACUGAGAGGUUGGCCGGCCACACUGGAACUGAGACACGGUCCAGACUCCUACGGGAGGCAGCAGUGGGGAAUCUUGCACAAUGGGCGAAAGCCUGAUGCAGCAACGCCGCGUGGGGGAUGAAGCUUCUCGGAGUGUAAACCCCUUUCGACCCGGAAGAAAGCCCGCAAGGGUUUGACGGUACGGGUAUAAGAAGCCCCGGCUAACUACGUGCCAGCAGCCGCGGUAAAACGUAGGGGGCCAGCGUUGCUCGGAAUUACUGGGCGUAAAGGGUCCGUAGGCGGUGUGGCAAGUCGGUAGUGAAAUCUCUAGGCUUAACCUAGAGGCUGCUGCCGAAACUGCCGUGCUAGAGUGUGAGAGAGGCGAGUGGAAUUACGGGUGUAGCGGUGAAAUGCGUAGAUAUCCGUAGGAACAUCCGAGGCGAAAGCGGCUCGCUGGAUCACAACUGACGCUGAGGGACGAAAGCUAGGGGAGCAAACAGGAUUAGAUACCCUGGUAGUCCUAGCCCUAAACCAUCAGGACUUGGGGUGUGCCCUGUACGGGGCACGUCCCGUAGCUAACGCGUUAAGUCCUGCGCCUGGGGAGUACGGUCGCAAGGCUGAAACUCAAGGGAAUUGACGGGGGCCCGCACAAGCGGUGGAACAUGUGGUUCAAUUCGACGCAACGC